rnacentral:rRNA from 1 species
UACGGGGGGAGCAAGCGUUGUUCGGAUUUACUGGGCGUAAAGGGCGUGUAGGCGGUUAGUUAAGUCUGGCGUGAAAGCUCUCGGCUAAACCGGGAGAGGUCGUUGGAUACUGGCUGACUAGAGGACGGUAGAGGCGUGUGGAAUUCCGGGUGUAGUGGUGAAAUGCGUAGAGAUCCGGAGGAACACCAGUGGCGAAGGCGACACGCUGGGCCGUACCUGACGCUAAAGCGCGACAGCAUGGGGAGCAAACGGG